GACGAACGCUGGCGGCGUGCUUAACACAUGCCAGUCGAACGGUAAGGCCCCAGCUUGCUGGGGUACACGAGUGGCGAACGGGUGAGUAACACGUGGGUGACCUGCCCUGCACUUCGGGAUAAGCCUGGGAAACUGGGUCUAAUACCGGAUAGGACCGCACCGUGAGGGUGUGGUGGAAAGUUUUUCGGUGUGGGAUGGGCCCGCGGCCUAUCAGCUUGUUGGUGGGGUAAUGGCCUACCAAGGCGGCGACGGGUAGCCGGCCUGAGAGGGUGGACGGCCACAUUGGGACUGAGACACGGCCCAGACUCCUACGGGAGGCAGCAGUGGGGAAUAUUGCACAAUGGGCGGAAGCCUGAUGCAGCGACGCCGCGUGGGGGAUGACGGCCUUCGGGUUGUAAACUCCUUUCACCAUCGACGAAGGUUUUCUGACGGUAGAUGGAGAAGAAGCACCGGCUAACUACGUG
rnacentral:rRNA from 1 species